rnacentral:rRNA from 1 species
UCAAGUGAAGAAGCGCAUACGGUGGAUGCCUUGGCAGUCAGAGGCGAUGAAAGACGUGGUAGCCUGCGAAAAGCUUCGGGGAGUCGGCAAACAGACUUUGAUCCGGAGAUCUCUGAAUGGGGGAACCCACCUAGGAUAACCUAGGUAUCUUGUACUGAAUCCAUAGGUGCAAGAGGCGAACCAGGGGAACUGAAACAUCUAAGUACCCUGAGGAAAAGAAAUCAACCGAGAUUCCCUUAGUAGUGGCGAGCGAACGGGGAUUAGCCCUUAAGCUUCAUUGAUUUUAGCGGAACGCUCUGGAAAGUGCGGCCAUAGUGGGUGAUAGCCCCGUACGCGAAAGGAUCUUUGAAGUGAAAUCGAGUAGGACGGAGCACGAGAAACUUUGUCUGAACAUGGGGGGACCAUCCUCCAAGGCUAAAUACUACUGACUGACCGAUAGUGAACCAGUACCGUGAGGGAAAGGCGAAAAGAACCCCGGAGAGGGGAGUGAAAUAGAACCUGAAACCGUAUGCGUACAAGCAGUGGGAGCCUACUUGUUAGGUGACUGCGUACCUUUUGUAUAAUGGGUCAGCGACUUAUAUUCAGUGGCAAGCUUAACCGUAUAGGGUAGGCGUAGCGAAAGCGAGUCUUAAUAGGGCGUUUAGUCGCUGGGUAUAGACCCGAAACCGGGCGAUCUAUCCAUGAGCAGGUUGAAGGUUAGGUAACACUGACUGGAGGACCGAACCCACUCCCGUUGAAAAGGUAGGGGAUGACUUGUGGAUCGGAGUGAAAGGCUAAUCAAGCUCGGAGAUAGCUGGUUCUCCUCGAAAGCUAUUUAGGUAGCGCCUCAUGUAUCACUCUGGGGGGUAGAGCACUGUUUCGGCUAGGGGGUCAUCCCGACUUACCAAACCGAUGCAAACUCCGAAUACCCAGAAGUGCCGAGCAUGGGAGACACACGGCGGGUGCUAACGUCCGUCGUGAAAAGGGAAACAACCCAGACCGCCAGCUAAGGUCCCAAAGUUGUGGUUAAGUGGUAAACGAUGUGGGAAGGCUUAGACAGCUAGGAGGUUGGCUUAGAAGCAGCCAUCCUUUAAAGAAAGCGUAAUAGCUCACUAGUCGAGUCGGCCUGCGCGGAAGAUGUAACGGGGCUCAAACCACACACCGAAGCUGCGGGUGUCACGUAAGUGACGCGGUAGAGGAGCGUUCUGUAAGCCUGUGAAGGUGAGUUGAGAAGCUUGCUGGAGGUAUCAGAAGUGCGAAUGCUGACAUGAGUAACGACAAUGGGUGUGAAAAACACCCACGCCGAAAGACCAAGGGUUCCUGCGCAACGUUAAUCGACGCAGGGUUAGUCGGUUCCUAAGGCGAGGCUGAAAAGCGUAGUCGAUGGGAAACAGGUUAAUAUUCCUGUACUUCUGGUUACUGCGAUGGAGGGACGGAGAAGGCUAGGCCAGCUUGGCGUUGGUUGUCCAAGUUUAAGGUGGUAGGCUGAAAUCUUAGGUAAAUCCGGGGUUUCAAGGCCGAGAGCUGAUGACGAGUCGUCUUUUAGAUGACGAAGUGGUUGAUGCCAUGCUUCCAAGAAAAGCUUCUAAGCUUCAGGUAACCAGGAACCGUACCCCAAACCGACACAGGUGGUCGGGUAGAGAAUACCAAGGCGCUUGAGAGAACUCGGGUGAAGGAACUAGGCAAAAUGGCACCGUAACUUCGGGAGAAGGUGCGCCGGCUAGGGUGAAGGAUUUACUCCGUAAGCUCUGGCUGGUCGAAGAUACCAGGCCGCUGCGACUGUUUAUUAAAAACACAGCACUCUGCAAACACGAAAGUGGACGUAUAGGGUGUGACGCCUGCCCGGUGCCGGAAGGUUAAUUGAUGGGGUUAGCGCAAGCGAAGCUCUUGAUCGAAGCCCCGGUAAACGGCGGCCGUAACUAUAACGGUCCUAAGGUAGCGAAAUUCCUUGUCGGGUAAGUUCCGACCUGCACGAAUGGCGUAACGAUGGCGGCGCUGUCUCCACCCGAGACUCAGUGAAAUUGAAAUCGCUGUGAAGAUGCAGUGUAUCCGCGGCUAGACGGAAAGACCCCGUGAACCUUUACUGUAGCUUUGCACUGGACUUUGAGCCUGCUUGUGUAGGAUAGGUGGGAGGCUUUGAAGCGUGGACGCCAGUUCGCGUGGAGCCAUCCUUGAAAUACCACCCUGGCAUGCUUGAGGUUCUAACUCUGGUCCGUGAUCCGGAUCGAGGACAGUGUAUGGUGGGCAGUUUGACUGGGGCGGUCUCCUCCUAAAGAGUAACGGAGGAGUACGAAGGUGCGCUCAGACCGGUCGGAAAUCGGUCGCAGAGUAUAAAGGCAAAAGCGCGCUUGACUGCGAGACAGACACGUCGAGCAGGUACGAAAGUAGGUCUUAGUGAUCCGGUGGUUCUGUAUGGAAGGGCCAUCGCUCAACGGAUAAAAGGUACUCCGGGGAUAACAGGCUGAUACCGCCCAAGAGUUCAUAUCGACGGCGGUGUUUGGCACCUCGAUGUCGGCUCAUCACAUCCUGGGGCUGA